rnacentral:rRNA from 1 species
UACGUAGGUGACAAGCGUUGUCCGGAUUUACUGGGCGUAAAGAGCGCGCAGGCGGUCGAUCAAGUCGAGUGUGAAAGCCCCCGGCUCAACUGGGGAGGGUCAUUCGAUACUGAUCGACUCGAAGGCAGGAGAGGGUAGUGGAAUUCCCGGUGUAGUGGUGAAAUGCGUAGAUAUCGGGAGGAACACCAGUGGCGAAGGCGGGUCUCUGGGCAGUAACUGACGCUGAGGAGCGAAAGCGUGGGGAGCGAACAGG